UUGAUACUCAUUCAGUUACUACAUCCAGCGACAAAUCGAAAAUGCCAUGUGGUGGACUUCUACCUCACUGACUCCUGCUUGGCAGUUCACCGGCAGCCAACAGCUUCGAGAUAACUGGAAAAUUAAUGGAAUUACAGAGUGAUGCACCAUCAAUAACUCUGAGACGUGGGUUAAGGUAGGCUUUUAUUGGCUGGAAGAAAGCACAAGCAGCAAGUGACCACCACACAACAUCCUGGAGACUGAGGGAGGAGCAGUGCCUCCAAUCGCCUUUAUACCAGGGUCUGUGCGAGGAGCCACAGGAGCAGUCAGCAGAGGCGGCGUGUCCAGACAGUGCCCACACAGACACUCACACAUGUACCAGGAUAUUGGCUGGGAGUGGGAACUCCUGCU